AUUGAACGCUGGCGGAAUGCUUUACACAUGCAAGUCGAACGGCAGCACGGACUUCGGUCUGGUGGCGAGUGGCGAACGGGUGAGUAAUAUAUCGGAACGUGCCCAGUCGUGGGGGAUAACGCAGCGAAAGCUGUGCUAAUACCGCAUACGAUCUCUGGAUGAAAGCGGGGGACUCGCAAGGGCCUCGCGCGAUUGGAGCGGCCGAUAUCAGAUUAGGUAGUUGGUGGGGUAAAAGCUCACCAAGCCGACGAUCUGUAGCUGGUCUGAGAGGACGACCAGCCACACUGGAACUGAGACACGGUCCAGACUCCUACGGGAGGCAGCAGUGGGGAAUUUUGGACAAUGGGCGCAAGCCUGAUCCAGCAAUGCCGCGUGCAGGAUGAAGGCCUUCGGGUUGUAAACUGCUUUGUACGGAACGAAACGGUCUGCUUUAAUACAGUGGCUAAUGACGGUACCGUAAGAAUAAGCACCGGCUAACUACGUAGCCAG
rnacentral:rRNA from 1 species